UUCUCCCCUAUUGAAGCCUUUAGCAGCGACUGUAAAUAAAUGUGCAGUUUGCCUUCUGCAAGCAAUGCCACUCAAAUGCUGAGACUAUUGAAUCAGCAGCCUUCUAGGCUCACAGAUCAGAUAGUGGUAACCAAAGCUUUGGUCAAGAUAUGACCGGUCUUAACUAGAGUUAGUUAAGAAUCAACGUUCCGUAGGUGAACCUGCGGAAGGAUCAUUACUAGUUUAGGGUGCUGAUCCAGCGCCCAAACUUCAACCCUUUGACUUAAUCAAUUUGUUUCUUUGCCGGUUUCGGCCGGCAGAAGUUUUUUCAAACUCAUUAGAAAUUUGUCUUCUGAACUUUAAAAAUAAUAAUUAAAACUUUCAACAACGGAUCUCUUGGUUCUG
rnacentral:misc_RNA from 1 species